rfam:Schistosoma mansoni strain Puerto Rico chromosome 1, complete genome
CUACUGCUGAGGAGUCCCAUAAUAGGACGAAACGGCCAUCAAUUUGUAC